rnacentral:rRNA from 1 species
UACGGAGGGGGCGAGCGUUAUUCGGAAUUAUUGGGCGUAAAGGGCGCGUAGGCGGCUUUCUAAGUCAAAGGUGAAAUCCCUCGGCUCAACUGAGGAACUGCCUUUGAAACUGGAAGGCUUGAGGCCGGGAGGGGGUAGCGGAAUUCCCAGUGUAGCGGUGAAAUGCGUAGAUAUUGGGAGGAACACCAGUGGCGAAGGCGGCUUCCUGGACCGGUUCUGACGCUGAUGCGCGAAAGCGUGGGUAGCAAACAGG